rnacentral:tRNA from 1 species
GCCCAGGUAGCUCAGUUGGUUAGAGCAUUCGCCUGAAGAGCGAGGGGUCGGCAGUUCAAAUCUGCCCCUGGGCACCA